rnacentral:rRNA from 1 species
AAGUCGUAACAAGGUUUCCGUAGGUGAACCUGCGGAAGGAUCAUUAAAGAGAUCAUGCCCUCACGGGUAGACCUCCCACCCUUUGUUUACAAUACCUUUGUUGCUUUGGCGGGCCCGUUUGGCCCCGCGCUGAACAACCGGCCCCGGCUGGUCAGUGCCCGCCAGAGAACCUAAAACUCUGAAUUAAAUGUCGUCUGAGUACUAUGUAAUAGUUAAAACUUUCAACAACGGAUCUCUUGGUUCUGGCAUCGAUGAAGAACGCAGCGAAAUGCGAUAAGUAAUGUGAAUUGCAGAAUUCAGUGAAUCAUCGAAUCUUUGAACGCACAUUGCGCCCCUUGGCAUUCCGAGGAGCAUGCCUGUUUGAGUGUCAUUUGAAACUUCUCAACCCACUUUUUUUCUGUGGCUUGGAAAUGGGGGCAAAAGUGCAGGCCUUUUUUGUGUCUGCUUCCCUGAAAUGCAUUAGCGGUGUUUGCUACCACAGGUGUGAUAAUAGUUCAACGCCUAUUUGCUGCCGCUUCCAACAAUAAUUGAUGAUGACCAACUUGACCUCAAAUCAGGUAGGACUACCCGCUGAACUUAA